GGAGCCUGCGGCGCCCGGAGCGGGACGCGGGGCUGCGGGAGCGCUGCAGGAAGUACGGCUCAUUUCGUCUCCUUCUCAUCCUCCUUGCGGUUAUAUUUUGGGUGUGCUUUAUCAGGCACGCCGCGUGUCAGUGCGGCCGUGCCUGCCUGUGGUUUAUAAAUAACUCCGUGUACACUGGGGACGCGCUCGCUCAGGGGUGUUUCGCUGUCAGGGGCGCGCUGCGGCCUCUGCCGGCCACAUUUAAAGAUCUGGAGCGUUAAAUAACAUUAAGAAUUAACAGGUGCCAAAGGAGUCGCGUUCCCUUUUCCGUGGGAAGGAGGUCAUUGCCGGCGGCGUGGGUGUCGGAGCAGCUUCUCCAGUGAUCCCUUCCUGCAGUAAUCAAAACUGAGGUUACUGUGAAGCUUUAGCCCUGAUGAUUGACAAGAAAGCAAUCUAAAGCGACCUGGCACCUAAACGUGGGCUUCCCUAGAAGAGAAAGAAAAGAGUGCCUCAUGAGGAAAAUCUCCCCUGCUCCCACCACCUAUUGGCGUUUCGGCUCCAGCUAAUACCUUCUGUGCAUCGCAACUUCCACAGUCUGCGGGAACCUUGUGGGCACGGCGUGAACUCGUCCACCUUUAAUCAGCGUUCAGGCAGGAGAGCGGCUUCCCGCCCCUGUGCCUGGGUUGGUGUGCCGCUGCCGCCGCUCGGGGAUGGUUUGCUCUCUCCGCAGCCCAGCCAGCGCUGCACCAGAUUGUUUGGGAAGUCAGCGGGGCUGCCGGGUACCAGGAUAAAGUUCCUGGAAAGGCGUCUUCGCAAGAAGAGCGAGCUCUGCGCUAUGUGUUGCGCGGAGGCUGCGGAGUUUGUUCGGUAACUGCGGGACCGGUGGAGCACCGCGUAACCUUCUGACAGUGCACACAGGAACCACAGUUACAGCCAGUCGCUGAUUCGUUUCCUGCUUGGGUGCCAUAAAAUAUUUUCAGAAAUGCAAGAAGAUAAAGGGCAAAGUGCUAAAGCCACCAGUGCAGUGGGUGACCUGAGGAAAAGUUGGCAGACCUGGGCAGAGGAUCACAUUGAGUAUCAGAGGAAGAAUCCGUUCAGCAGUGACGGCAGGCUUGCGUCUAAACCUGCGCCUACUCACAGAGGAGAUCCGACUUAUGGGAGACCCCUUGAAGGGUCUCGGACAGAGCAGAGAGGGAAAGAUGCUCACUCGCACGUGGGUAAGGAGGUGGAAGAGCUGUGCUCGAUCAUCAGAAGAACUGGAGAGGUGGGAGAAGAUGGACACGUGAGUGUGACAUUUGGGCAGCUGUUUGAAACCUAUGUGACUAUUUCCAAUAAAGUAGUGGGCAUCUUGUUAAGAGCCAGAAAACACGGCCUGGUUCGUUUUGAAGGUGAAAUGCUUUGGCAAGGGAAAGAUGACGAGGUGGUCAUCACUUUACUACAAUAAGGCUUUGUCCUGGAAUGAACUUUGCUGCAUGGUUCCAUUUGGAAAAACAUAUCUUCACAGGUUUUGGUUACAGAAUUUCAACUCAGCUACUUACACGCAAGCAGGAGAGGAAGUGGGCAAGAAGGAUAAAGCAUAUUUUUGUAAAAAUGGUAGAGAUUUGCACAGAAAUCACGGAUUAAUGGGCUACUCCAUCACGCUGACAUUGGCUUGUCCUUGUUAUCAUCUACAACCAAGUAUAUGAGAGUUCUUCAAAUAAUUCUGCUGGCCUACUGCUUUUAGGUUACUGAAAGUGUAAAUUACUAACUUGCUAUCCUACAACACUGAUCCCUGCCAGUUGUGAAAUACUUACUGCAUGGGAGAAUGGGAUUUGUAAAACAUGGAAUUGAAAACUCUUGUGGGAAUUCAUAUGCUUCUUCAAACAAAAAGCCUGGUAUAUAACGAAAUUUAGGUUCAAUCUCACAUGGUUAAACUGAAUAAAUUGGAAUUAUUUUCA